UUCUAGAAGUAUGAAGAAUGGAGAUGAAUAAAGAUGUGUGAAUCCAGGGUUUCCUCCCUACAGCCUAUUCUUUUGUCCCAGGAUGCCCUAUGUGAUUGUGCGUGAGAGUUAUAUUCAAACAAGUUGUAUGGUGGAUGGACUUCCUCUCAACGAAAUAAGACUGUUAUCUGAGAAAGCCUCAUCCCCCUCUGAUAUGCGAGACGAGAAGAACCGAAGGAAUU